GUCUAUGGCCAUGCUACCCUGAACAGAUAUCUGAUGUUGGAAGCUAAGCAGCAUCAGUCUGGUUAGUACUUGGAUGGGAGACCACCGAGGAAGACCAGGUACUGUAGGCA
rfam:Pteropus alecto contig110592, whole genome shotgun sequence.